GUAUACGGCCACGCCACCCCGAACCAGCCUGAUCCCGCCUGAUCUUGGAAGCUAAGCAGGGUCGGGCCUGGUUAGUACUUGGAUAGGAGACCAGCUAGGAAGACCAGGUGCUGUAGGCU
rnacentral:rRNA from 1 species